rnacentral:rRNA from 1 species
GACGAACGCUGGCGGCGUGCUUAACACAUGCAAGUCGAACGGAAAGGCCCUGCUUUUGUGGGGUGCUCGAGUGGCGAACGGGUGAGUAACACGUGUGUAACCUGCCCUUGACUUUGGGAUAACUUCAGGAAACUGGGGCUCAUACCGGAUAGGAGCUCCUGCUGCAUGGUGGGGGUUGGUAAGUUUCGGCGGUUGGGGAUAGACUCGCGGCUUAUCAGCUUGUUGGUGGGGUAGUGGCUUACCAAGGCUUUGACGGGUAGCCGGACUGAGAGGGUGACCGGCCACAUUGGGACUGAGAUACGGCCAAGACUCCUACGGGAGGCAGCAGUGGGGAAUAUUGCACAAUGGGCGGAAGCCGGAUGCAGCAACGCCGCGUGCGGGAUGACGGCCUUCGGGUUGUAAACCGCUUUCGCCUGUGACGAAGCGUGAGUGACGGUAAUGGGUAAAGAAGCAACGGCUAACUACGUG